GGGUGUCCAACAUGGUACUAGAUGGGUGUAUAUUUGAACGAAAUGUUCUUCUAUAACAUUUUUAUAUGUUUUAUAAGAACGCUUUUAUUUUAAAGACAAGCUUUUAUUUUGAAGAGAAAUCCAGAAAUUCCCUUAGAUUUUCUGGCUUAACAUGUGACAAACCAUGUGACUGAGAGUAGGUUACAAGCAUUUCACUGCGCAGACUGGAGCCAGACAGUCCCUGUGUCAAGAACAGUUGGCAUUUCAUCUGCUUUGCUUUGAGAAUGAAUUCAGAUGCCUAUCCCGAGAAGAAUCUACAUCUGUGUUCAAGAGGGCAACCACUGUAAAGCCAACCGUUGUAGCCAACCUGCGGAGAGCCGUCCGCCUCACACACAUGUCCAGGAUGUACCAACAUCACUGUGGAUCAUCAUCAUGGAGAGCCAGUUGCAGCGCUUUGACCCUUGGGGUCCUGAUGACUGGGCCCUGAUUGACUCUGAGACAUAGCAGGGGCAGUGGUGAAGACUUACUCCAGACAAAAUAGAAAGAGAGAUUUGAGAACUAUAGGACAUUAAAACAUCUCUCCAAUA